rnacentral:ncRNA from 2 species
UACGUAGGGUGCAAGCGUUGCCCGGAUUUAUUGGGCGUAAAGCGCGCGCAGGUGGUUGCGCAAGUCCUGUGUGAAAUCUCCCGGCUCAACCGGGAGGGGUCAUGGGAGACUGCGCGACUGGAGCCUGGGAGGGGGAAGCGGAAUUCCCGGUGUAGUGGUGGAAUGCGUAGAUAUCGGGAGGAACACCAGUGGCGAAGGCGGCUUCCUGGACCAGAGCUGACACUGAGGCGCGAAAGCGUGGGGAGCGAUCCGG